rnacentral:rRNA from 1 species
GGAAUAUUGCGCAAUGGAGGAAACUCUGACGCAGCGACGCCGCGUGCGGGAUGAAGGCCUUCGGGUUGUAAACCGCUUUCAGUAGGGAAGAAGCGAAAGUGACGGUACCUACAAAAGAAGCACCGGCUAACUAUGUGCCAGCAGCCGCGGUAAUACAUAGGGUGCAAGCGUUGUCCGGAAUUAUUGGGCGUAAAGAGCUCGUAGGUCGUUUGUUACGUCGGAUGUGAAAAUCUGAGGCUCAACCUCAGACCUGCAUUCGAUACGGGCAAACUAGAGUUUGGUAGGGGAGACUGGAAUUCCUGGUGUAGCGGUGGAAUGCGCAGAUAUCAGGAGGAACAUCAACGGCGAAGGCAGGUCUCUGGGCCAAUACUGACACUGAGGAGCGAAAGCGCGGGGAGCGAACAGGAUUAGAUACCCUGGUAGUCCGCGCCGUAAACGGUGGGUACUAGUUGUGGGAACCUUCCACGGUUUCUGCGACGACGCUAACGCAUUAAGUACCCCGCCUGGGGAGUACGAUCGAAAGAUUAAAACUCAAAUGAAUUGACGG